AACAAACGCUGGCGGCGUGCCUAAUACAUGCAAGUCGAACGGGGUAGCAAUACCUAGUGGCGCACGGGUGAGUAACGCGUGGAUAAUCUGCCUUAGAGUGGGGGAUAACUAGUCGAAAGAUUAGCUAAUACCGCAUAAGACCACAAGAACUGCGGUUCAAGGGGUCAAAGGUUUUUCGCUCUAAGAUGAGUCCGCGUAAGAUUAGCUAGUUGGUGAGGUAAUGGCCCAACAAGGCGACGAUCUUUAACUGGUCUGAGAGGAUGAUCAGUCACACUGGAACUGAGACACGGUCCAGACUCCUACGGGAGGCAGCAGUAGGGAAUAUUGCACAAUGGAGGAAACUCUGAUGCAGCGACGCCGCGUGAGUGAUGAAGGCCUUCGGGUCGUAAAGCUCUGUCGCAGGGGAAUAACACAAUGAAUGUACCCUGUAAGAAAGGAUCGGCUAACUUCGUGCCAGCCGCCGCAGUAACAC
rnacentral:rRNA from 1 species